rnacentral:rRNA from 1 species
AUUGAACGCUGGCGGCAGGCCUAACACAUGCAAGUCGAACGAGUGGCGGAAGGGUGAGUAAUGCUUGGGAAACUGGCUUCUGGCGGGGGUUCACGACGGGAAACUGUCGCUAAUACCGCGCACCCUAGGAUGAGCCCCAGUGGGAUUGGGUAGUUGGUGGGGUAAGGGCCUACAAAGCCGACGAUCUCUAGCUGGUCUGAGAGGAUGACCAGCAACGCCGGAACUGAGACACGGUCCGGACUCCUACGGGAGGCAGCAGUGGGGAAUAUUGCGCAAUGGGGGCAACCUGACGCAGCCAUGCCGCGUGUGUGAAGAAGGCCUUCGGGUUGUAAAGUACUUUCGGUGACGAGGCGUUAAUCACAGAAGAAGCACCGGCUAACUCCGUGCCAGCCGCCGCGGUAAUAC